rnacentral:rRNA from 1 species
CGUGCCUAAUACAUGCAAGUCGAACGCACUCUCGUUUAGAUUGAAGGAGCUUGCUCCUGAUUGAUAAACAUUUGAGUGAGUGGCGGACGGGUGAGUAACACGUGGGUAACCUGCCCUAAAGUGGGGGAUAACAUUUGGAAACAGAUGCUAAUACCGCAUAAAACCUAACACCGCAUGGUGUAGGGUUGAAAGAUGGUUUCGGCUAUCACUUUAGGAUGGACCCGCGGUGCAUUAGUUAGUUGGUGAGGUAAAGGCUCACCAAGACCGUGAUGCAUAGCCGACCUGAGAGGGUAAUCGGCCACACUGGGACUGAGACACGGCCCAGACUCCUACGGAGGCAGCAGUAGGGAAUCUUCCACAAUGGACGAAAGUCUGAUGGAGCAACGCCGCGUGAGUGAAGAAGGUUUUCGGAUCGUAAAACUCUGUUGUUGGAGAAGAAUGUAUCUGAUAGUAACUGAUCAGGUAGUGACGGUAUCCAACCAGAAAGCCACGGCUAACUACGUG